GACGAACGCUGGCGGCGUGCCUAAUACAUGCAAGUCGAACGAACCGCGACUAGGUGCUUGCACUUGGUCAAGGUGAGUGGCGAGCGGGUGAGUAACACGUGGGUAACCUACCUCAUAGUGGGGGAUAACAGUCGGAAACGACUGCUAAUACCGCAUAGGACAUAGGAUCACAUGAUUCUGUGAGGAAAGGUGGCGCAAGCUAUCGCUAAGAGAUGGACCCGCGGUGCAUUAGCUAGUUGGUAGGGUAAAGGCCUACCAAGGCGAUGAUGCAUAGCCGACCUGAGAGGGUGAUCGGCGACAUUGGAACUGAGACACGGCCCAAACUCCUACGGGAGGCAGCAGUAGGGAAUCUUCCGCAAUGGACGCAAGUCUGACGGAGCAACGCCGCGUGAGUGAAGAAGGUCUUCGGAUCGUAAAGCUCUGUUGUUAGAGAAGAACAGCGCAUAGAGUAACUGUUAUGCGUGUGACGGUAUCUAACCAGAAAGCCACGGCUAACUACGUG
rnacentral:rRNA from 1 species